UUUUUCUGUUUUUGAGCUCCUGACAGUGACGGCUCCUGCUCACCAUCCAGUUUCACAGUAUGGAGAACCUCUGGGAUUCUGCUAAACGUCUGUUUUUGUGUCCUGCAGAAGAAGUAGUCAUACAGCUUGAGGGACAUUCCUGAGAUAACAGACAUGCACACCUACAGGAGCUCAGGGGUGAAGCCCCCCAUGGCGACGGAAACGGCCCGAGGAAAGGCCUCAUGCUGGAGGGAGAUGGGCCCGGCAGCUCCCUCAACAAUGGAAGCUCUUGGAAGAUUCUAGGAAGAUCUUGUCUUUUUCGUAAUGGUCU